UGCUGUCUUUUUCUCUCCAGCCUUUGGCCCUUCUCAUCAGGAUGAAAACGCUUCUGUUUGGUGUCUGGGCCCUGCUGGCCUUGAUCCUUUGCCCAGGGGUCCCGGAAGAGUUGUUUGAGGUUUCUAUUUGGCCAAGUCAGGCCCUGGUGGAGUUUGGACAGUCCCUAGUGGUCAACUGCAGCACUACUUGCCCAGACCCAGGACCCAGUGGAAUUGAGACCUUCUUAAAGAAAACUCAGGUGGGCAAAGGGCCUCAGUGGAAAGAGUUUCUUCUGGAGGAUGUCACAGAGAAUUCCAUCCUGCAGUGCUUCUUCUCUUGUGCAGGGAUUCAAAAGGACACAAGCCUUGGCAUCACUGUGUAUCAGCCACCAGAGCAAGUGAUCCUGGAGCUGCAGCCUGCCUGGGUGGCCGUGGACGAAGCCUUCACAGUGAAGUGUCAUGUACCCAGUGUAGCACCCUUGGAGAGUCUCACCCUUGCCCUUCUCCAGGGUAACCAAGAACUGCAUAGAAAGAACUUUACGAGGUUGGUUGUGGCCUCCCAAAGAGCUGAGGUCAUCAUCAGUGUCAGAGCCCAAAAGGAGAAUGACAGAUGCAAUUCUUCCUGCCAUGCAGAACUGGACUUGAGUUUGCAAGGUGGGAGGCUCUUUCAAGGCAGCUCACCCAUCAGAAUAGUCCGGAUCUUUGAAUUCUCUCAGAGUCCCCACAUCUGGGUCUCUUCCCUUUUGGAGGCUGGGAUGGCGGAGACUGUGAGCUGCGAGGUGGCUAGGUUGUUUCCAGCCAAAGAAGUUAUGUUCCACAUGUUCCUGGAAGACCAAGAGCUGAGCUCCUUCCUUUCCUGGGAGGGGGACACAGCAUGGGCCAAUGCUACCAUUCGGACCAUGGAGGCUGGUGAUCAGGAACUGUCUUGCUUUGCAUCUCUGGGUCCAAUGGAACAGAAGACAAGAAAGCUAGUGCAUAGCUACAGUAAGUGACCUGGCUCUUCCUUUUUCAUACGGGUUCUCUGCUGCUGAAAACACAGAGUAACGGGUUGGUGAUUCGGCUGUAGACAUCCCUGCUGCCCUUUGCUGGGUAUGCCCUCAAGUGAACAUGAGUCUUCAUCUUUCUCUGGCUUCCCUCCACCAAUCCUGGAGCUAAAAGAAUCAUACCCAUUGGCAGGGACCGACAUUAAUGUGACCUGCUCAGGGCAUGUAUUAACAUCACCCAGCCCUACUCUUCGGCUUCAGGGAGCCCCAGACCUCCCUGCCCCUGGGGAGCCUGCCUGGCUUCUACUUACUGCCAGGGAGGAAGAUGAUGGCUGAAAUUUCUCCUGCGAGGCCUCUUUGGUGGUGCAGGGUCAGCGGUUGAUGAAAACCACUGUGAUCCAGCUCCAUAUCCUAUACAAGCUACGGUUAGAGGAAUCCAGUUGCCCUGGCAAACAGACCUGGCUGGAAGGGAUGGAACACACGCUCGCCUGCGUCCCAAAGGGAAACCCAGCUCCAGCCUUGGUGUGUACCUGGAAUGGGGUGGUCUUUGACCUUGAAGUGCCACAGAAGGCAACCCAGAACCACACUGGAACCUACUGCUGCACAGCCACUAACCAGCUGGGCUCUGUCAGCAAAGACAUUGCUGUCAUUGUUCAAGGACUGGAUGAAGGAAUCAGCUCUACCCUCUUUGUCAUUAUUACUGUUACGUCUGGAGUGGGUGUCAUCACCAUAGCACUGUAUUUGAGCUAUCGGCCCUGCAAAGUGGACAGGAGGAAAUUGCUCUAUAGGCAGAAAGAGGAGGACAAAGAGGAGGAAAGCCAGUUUGCUGUUCAGGAAGAGAAAAGUACAACUCAUAUAAUUGACAGCUAUUUGAUUGAAUGAGAGUUGUGCUACUGUGGUUUCCCAGGGAUGGGAGAAGGGAUAGAGGAGAAAGGAAGA
rnacentral:sRNA from 1 species